GAAGAAGGUGGCAGCCUCCUGGGAGUGCCAUCUGGCCGUGGGGUGCGCCCUCUUGAUGGUACCCCCAGCUUGGAGUGCUCCUGACCAGAGGAUGUCACACCUGCCUGGGGGUGCACCCAUUUGGGGAUGCCACACCUGCCUGGGGGGAUGUCUUUCUGUUGGGGCACCUUCCAUGGGCUGAUCCCGUGUUUGGGGUUACACUCAGCUUGGGGUGACACCCUCCUUAUGGUGACAUUUUGUAUGGGGUGACCCCAAGGAGGGCAAUUGCAUCCAGUUCAUAGGACACAGCCCUGCAGCAGGAAUGCUGCUUGGGCUGGGAGGUGGGCAGGUGGAAGGGAGAUGGCACUGCGGGUGCCUCCUUGCUGCCCUUAGCCCUGAGCUGCAGGAGGGGAGAGAUGGAGAUGCUGUGUGUGUGGGUAAGCAGAUGUGUGCAGUUGUUUCGGGGUGAUGGUGGUGCCCUCUGCUAGCAACUGUAGAGAUGUGGUGGUGGCUGAGUGUUUGCACUUGGCAAAACAGCAACAGGAGCCCCAUGGGUCCGUAGCUGUGGUAGUACAAAGAAGCAAAACAGAUUCACAGGGAAGAAAACAUGAAUACAUCAGUAGUGCAGCCAGCUGAAACCAUCUCCACACCCUGGCAGUGCUGUCAGCUGCUGCUUCUCAAGGGCUAACAGCUCAUCCUAACGAUGGAAUUACCCAUUCCUUUGCAUUCCAGCCAUGGGACAGCCCACAGUCUGCUACUGUAAUGUUGUAAAUUAGAUAAUAACACAGCUUUGUUAAGUGGGCUGAUUCUUCUUGCUGUAGUUUCUGUCUCAUUAGAAAUGAAGAGAAAAAAUAAAAGAAAAGAAAACCUGUCCUGAAGGAAACACCCAUUCAGCAGUCCCAGCUCUCUCCUCUAAUGAAAAUUUCCCAUUUUGCUUGUUAAGACAGCUGUAACCCCAAAAGAAAGGCAAUCCACACUCUAAAAUAAUAGAGCUGUUUGAGAAACUGGAAUGGGAAUAUGUGUUUAAACAAUAGCUGUGUGAUAAAAUAAUGACCGGCCUGUGCAGCUGUACUGCCAUAAAUAAUAAAAAAAAAGACAAUUUAAUUCAACAAAUCCAUUAAUAUAAAUAAAAUAGCAAUCUCAGGGUAGAAACAAGAAAGUUGCUGUGAUAUAAAACCACGUGUAGUGUAAUGAAACCAUAUCGGCUCCAUCAGAGCAGGAGAUGUGCAUCAAGGCAUAAGAGGAGUUACAAAUAACAAUAUGACUGCCUUAUCUAAAGUGCACUAUCUCCUGGAAAGCUGAUGAAAACCCAGCAGGGUCUGCAGGCAGCUGCAGGCAUGUCCAUCCAUGCAAGCCUCUGCUGAGCAAAAUCUCAGCGGCUCUCUGUGCUCUUUGCACACAAGAGCUCGUGGGGUUUGUUUGAUCUCUGCUUCCAGUCUUGGCAAGCCCUGACUGCCUGAACGAGGCACCACAACAAAUAGGUGAGAGCACGGAUGGUGUUGUUUUGGUGGUGGAGCUCACAUGUUAAACGGGAGCUGCUGGGUGGCGAUGAGCUGCUUUGCCUUCUUGUUUGUUUCCUAAAUGUUGGUGACUAAAUCUCGGAGCAGACUGAUGCACUGUGAGCAUUUGGCCUGUUGGGCACAUUGACAAUGCUCUGAGGAUGCAGGAGAGCUUUGCUGAUGUUCCUUCAGAGCUUGAAAUAGUUUUCUUCCCCAAAGAUGGAUGCUGAGCACUUUCAAGCUGGCCAUUUAGAGAGUUUGUGACCAGAAAUCAAUCCAGGCAGAAAAAAUGUACAUCUACCUGUUUACAUCAUAAACCACAAACGCGUUUGCAUCCUGCAACAAACACCUGGGCAACAUCCAGAGGAGACAUUCCCAACGUGUUAACUACUGCCAGCGCUGGGAUCCUGUAACCACAGCACAUGGAGAUGAUGGGAACUCAGUUAAAUUAAGGAGAACCACCAAGAUUGUGAAACGUGGCAGCAGGACAAGAGCUGGUUGCAACACAGGCUGGACUUUAGGUCUGUUGGCCAAUCGAACACAUCUGAUGCUGGUGAUUGGGAUGCCAGAGACAGUUGGUAGACUGCUGAUCUACCCUGUGGGUCACUGAGGCACGUUCUUGAGGGCUGAUCCUCCUGGCCUGCACAAAUCUGCAUGUCCAAUUUCCCGAAUGGCAGAAAAUUCUACAUUAAGAUGACAUUUAUCAGCUAAUCUUUUAAAAGAAAUUAACUGGGUAUUUAUGAGGCUUAGACUUAGAGUAUCAUAGAAUCAUUAAGGUUGGAAAAGACCACCAAGACCAGCAAGUCCGACUGUCAACUGAUUCCCCACCAUGCCCACCAACUACAUCCUUCUGUGCCACAAUCUAACUUCUCAGUGGCACCAGGGAGAGCACAACCAAGCUCCUUUUGGAUCCCACUUGUAUCUUGUUCCCUUACUGCAAGGACAGACCCAAGCCCAACCCUGGCAAACAUUUCCUACCAGGGCAGUCACCACUGUGCAGGCUGGGUGAUGAGGCACCAGUGGGUGCAAGGAAACCCUAAAGCCCACAGGGGUCAGGGCUGGCAAUGCCCCACAUCCCUCCAUGCUGCUCAGCCCUUCUGCUGAUGUUCUGCAGGAGAGCAGCAGCUGAUGGUGCUAAAAAUACCCUUGGGCAGGGUAGCAGUGGUUCAGCACUGGGCUUCCCAGAAGAGUGCUGGUAUUUCAGCCUUGUGACUCCAGCUCAGGCCACUUGAUGAACAGCAUGCAACUUUGCUCUGAUUUCCCCAUUUGGUAGGGAACAAUCUCAGUAACGGAUGGAUAAGUCAGCAAACAGCAUAGUUCGCUUUCUUAUUUUAGGUCUCCCAUAGACAUAGAUAUGAAUGACUCUGAAAUAUAGGCAGCACCUGGUCCUUCCCUGCUGUCACAUUGUCCCCUUGAUGGAAAAGCAAAGGAGAUUCCUAUACAAGAUCCCUCUGUAGGUCUGAGGAGGCAGCCGUAAAUGUCCGACCAUAUGCGUGCCAAACAUCCAACCACUCUGCAACCUCACUUUGCCCAUUGCACGUGGGGCAAGAUGGGAGGGAUUCCCCAAAUCUGCAAGCACAUCCCAUAAAAUACCCCGGACACCAGCUGAGAGCACCACCUGUCAGUGGAGUGCUUUGUUCCCAAACCAGGUCCUGCUGGCACAUCCCUCUGACACACUCUACAGAAGAAAAAGUAAAACUAGGAACUUUUUGACUUCUUAUUUUGCAGAAGUGUGACCUUUCGACCUGAAUCACGAUGAGUGGUUAUGAGGAAGAGCUGCUCUCACUUCUAAAUUAUUGCCAUGCAAUGAGCAGGUUUCCAUGGGGUAGCUGAAGGCAUGUCCUGAGGUCCAAGGGAUACAAGCAUCCCAUUCUUGCUCUACUUUGCACUAAAGGACUGGUCUUAGAGGAGCUUAUUCUCUAAAAAAUGACCUGACUGGCUGAAUAAAACACAAUUUCUGUUUUAAUAUUGUUGUGUUAUGAAACAUUGCAAUAGAGGCACAAAUGUGGGCAAGAACAAGUUUUACUGCAGACGCUUGAUCUGCUGACAGAUUGUCCCAGUGCUGCAUUCCUCAUUCCCUGGGGGUCUGGUCCAGCUCAGAUUGGAAGAUAGUGAAGAUCUUGGGAGAUCUCCAAUAGUGUGGGUCAAAAUUCACUGAUUACAGAAAUGCAAUUGGUUCAGUUGAUCUGCAUAAAGAAAAAAACCACAGCCCAUAGUGGGAAUGUAGAGUAGGAUUGAGAGGAAAAGCUGAGCCCUAAUAGGGAGGCUGGUGCGUGGUGUAUUCAAUAAUUGCAUUUAUGAAUAAACAAUUAAGUAUUACCAAUGAAUCUCUUGCAUUUUAUUGACCCAGGCACAGAAGCUGCUUUUUGGCACUGAUGACUUGCUCAGUUCACGCUUGACAAUGGGGAAUUGUAGUGGCUGUUCCCUUAAGAAAU
ensembl:lncRNA